AGCAUAUCAAUAAGCGGAGGAAAAGAAACUAACAAGGAUUCCCCUAGUAACUGCGAGUGAAGCGGGAAAAGCUCAAAUUUAAAAUCUGGUGGUCUUUGGCCAUCCGAGUUGUAAUCUAGAGAAGUGUUACCCGCGUCGGACCGUGUACAAGUCUCCUGGAAUGGAGCGUCAUAGAGGGUGAGAAUCCCGUCUUUGACACGGACUACCGAGGCUUUGUGGUGCGCUCUCAAAGAGUCGAGUUGUUUGGGAAUGCAGCUCAAAAUGGGUGGUAAAUUCCAUCUAAAGCUAAAUAUUGGCGAGAGACCGAUAGCGAACAAGUACCGUGAGGGAAAGAUGAAAAGAACUUUGGAAAGAGAGUUAAACAGUACGUGAAAUUGCUGAAAGGGAAACGCUUGAAGUCAGUCGCGUUGGCCGGAAAUCAGCCUUGCUUUUGCAUGGUGUACUUUCUGGUUGACGGGCCAGCAUCAGUUUUGACCGGUGGAAAAAGUCCAGAGGAAGGUGGCAUCUUCGGAUGUGUUAUAGCCUCUGGUCGUAUACAUCGAUUGGGACUGAGGAACUCAGCACGCCGAAAGGCCGGGUCUUUGACCACGUUCGUGCUUAGGAUGCUGGCAUAAUGGCUUUAAUCGACCCGUCUUGAAACACGGACCAAGGAGUCUAACAUGCCUGCGAGUGUUUGGGUGGAAAACCCGAGCGCGUAAUGAAAGUGAAAGUUGAGAUCCCUGUCAUGGGGAGCAUCGACGCCCGGACCAGAAGUUUUCUGACGGCCCUGCGGUAGAGCAUGUAUGUUGGGACCCGAAAGAUGGUGAACUAUGCCUGAAUAGGGUGAAGCCAGAGGAAACUCUGGUGGAGGCUCGUAGCGAUUCUGACGUGCAAAUCGAUCGUCAAAUUUGGGUAUAGGGGCGAAAG
rnacentral:rRNA from 1 species